AAUACUCUUCCUUUCGUGUUUUGAUAUCUGAUUGUUUUGCUACUCUCACUUUGGAGUUCGGAUGGUGUCUAGCAACGUUGGGUACCUCGUUUCUUGUGUGAGCGAGUGGUUGCUGUUUACGACGUGUUCAUAUAUCGAUUUGUAGUGCUGUAAUGUGCAAAUUAGCGGACUUUAUAGCGGCUCUCUAUUUUCCGUCGUUGUCUUUUGAGCAGCGCCUGUUGUUCCGGUAAAAAUCGAGUUGAAUGAAUCGCCACAGCCCCAACGUAUAUCGCGCAGUGUUGACCAAGUCAAGCAGGAAUUCUGGCAUGGUAUGUGGCUGCACGGAGGAUUCCGAAAAAGAAAAACAACAACAUGGCUAAUAGGAUGUUGCUGCCCAGGGAGUCCUGGCCGAAGAGGUUUACUCAUUCCAGAAGCAAGAAUUGUACCAUUGUAAGGCGAAUGGAAAUAAACUGACAUCGAC